CUUUAUCGCUAGGGGUGCCAUUUUGGCUGAGAGAGCGCCGCGCUGUCAAGGCGGAGCACAAUCAACCCUUUAAACCUGAUUUGGGUAAUUCCAACGUAGGGAAGCGAGAUUUGAAUUAA
rnacentral:ncRNA from 2 species